rnacentral:lncRNA from 1 species
UGAAUUGUGUGUGAUUUCAGUUUGGAAGGUGCUCAGGAAACGGAAAGAAUUCAAAAGAGGUUAGGAAAGAAACACAAGUGCUGUGGAGACAUGCUCAUAGCGACAUGAUUGGGUCGCUACAAGGAAGAUAGCAUAGCGACAAGCGCAUAGUGACCCACACAUGUCGCUAUAACCCUUUACGGACAACCUUAGCACGUGCGUAGUGACAUCCUCAUGUUACUACGACCAAACGAAGAGAAUGCAAUAUUUGGCUAAGGACCGUAGCGACAUAUCCAUAGUGACAUUCUCAUGUCGCUACAGUCACAAGGUAAGUAUUCUAAUCCGGUUUAAAAUCUCUCCACAUCUCUAGUAAUUUUUAUUUUACUUAUCAUGUAAACCACUCCAAAUUCAAAGUCACACAAGAGACUGUGUGAUUCGAGUGUGGUGGGGGUACUAUAAAAACUGAUCAUUUUGCUUGUUUUUAUUUGGAUGAUUUGCAUUUGACAUAUCUAGCACUUUGCAUUUGUGUGGAUUUUAAUGAUUUGCAUUUUGGAUUUUCUUGUGAUUUCUAAAUAAAAUUUUUUUUUUUUUUAAAAAGAGUUGUGUGUUUUGAAUUAUGCAUAGGGAGCCAUGAU